rnacentral:rRNA from 1 species
AUACGUAGGGGGCGAGCGUUGUCCGGAAUGAUUGGGCGUAAAGGGCGCGUAGGCGGCCCGGUAAGUCUGGAGUGAAAGUCCUGUUUUUAAGAUGGGAAUUGCUUUGGAUGCUGUCGGGCUUGAGUGCAGGAGAGGUAAGUGGAAUUCCCAGUGUAGCGGUGAAAUGCGUAGAGAUUGGGAGGAACACCAGUGGCGAAGGCGACUUACUGGACUGUAACUGACGCUGAGGCGCGAAAGUGUGGGGGGCAAACAGGAUUAGAUACCCUGGUAGUCCACACUGUAAACGAUGAAUGCUAGGUGUAGGGGGUAUCGACCCCUUCUGUGCCGCAGUCAACACAAUAAGCAUUCCGCCUGGGGAGUACGGCCGCAAGGUUGAAACUCAAAGGAAUUGACGGGG